CCGGAUCGCCCCCCGCCCGAGCGGGCCUCGGGGACCGGCCAGGCCCUUAGGACCGGCCCGCCCUUCCCCUCCCUGAACCCUUGACCCCCAGGAGCUCGCCCGCCGUCUCCGGGAAAGGCCAACAGAGGCCCUCGCCCUGGGCGCCACGCUCCCCCCUCCCCACCCCCAGUUGCAUAAAAAGCCCCUUUGUGUAAUUUUGCGGUAACCGAGGGGUGGGGGGAAACUCUGUCCGGCCAUCGGUGGCCGCCCGCCGAGGCGACGGCGACACCCCGUUGAAGGAUGGGCCCCGGAUCUCGGGAGCCGACGGCGGGGCCCGGCGGCCCCGGCCUCGUCCCUCCGGGGAGAGGAGAGACGGGAGAGGACCGGCCCGCCCGAAGAGGCCCACCGAGGAGGCCCGGGGCGGGGGGAGAGAGACGAUCCCCGGCCGGCCGGCGCAGGCCCACGUGGGACCGGACGGCGCGUCGGGCCUCGGCUCUCGGAGGGCGACGGCCCGGCGCCCCCCUCUGCGCCGUCGACCCGACGGCGGGAGGAGUGGACGUCGAGAGGGAGAGGGAAGAUUCCCCGAGGUCCCUUCUUUUGUUGCGGAGCGUGCUGGCGGAGGGAGAGCCGGUCGUUCCGCGGCUUCGGGUGUCGUCGGAGAUGCGUCCUGCUGCCCUGUGUGGCCUCUGGCCGAAGGCGGAUGUCGGGAGGAGUUAGAUCGCCUUCCGGACAGCCCUCCGUCGUCGGGUGACGCGCCGCCCGCCCUUCUUCACGAGAGGGCCGACCGAACUUGGUACGCGGCCGGGAGGAGCGUUCGCCCCGGGGCGACGCUGGACGGAUCUCAGAUGGGGACGUGAAAGAGAGACCGGCGGAUCGCCGCGGCGGGGCGUGACCCCUGCCGGCCGAGGGGCCGUCGGCGGUUGGGGGAUUCUUGGGAUUUCCUCCGUUAGCCGCCUCGUGCGGGGCUCCGGAGGUGAGCCUCCCGAGGCGCGCUCUCCUAGAAGACGGGAGUCGGAGAUCGCCCGUUGACCUUCGGUAGCUUCGGUUCUCUUGGGGGGUGGAGGGGGUCGGAGGGGGUGACCCGACCCGGUGACCCGACGGGCCCCUCUCCCCUUCUCUAGAAGCCCUGACGCGGACCUUGCUCUUAACCUAGUGCUGCUGUUUGAGGGCGGCAAAAGCGUGGCUCUGGGCUCUGUCCCCCCCCCCCCCCCCCCCCCGCUCGUUCCUUUGCGGACGAUGGUCCCGGCCACCUCGGAGGGAACGGGGAGAGCCUCGGGAUCGGGGUCUGGCCACCGCUGAAGUGGUGAGUCGAGGAUGGAACGGGGUCCUUAGAGGAGGGACGGAGACUUGCGUCCAGCGAGGGAAACCGAGUGUGAUUUCAGUUAAACUGCGAUGCGGGAGACAUCCUGGUCCGGUCCGGGGCAGUCGGGCUUUCCCCAGCGUGGCUGGGGAGGGGAAGACAGUGUGGUCCGUUGGAUUUGAGACGGAGGGGAUCCUAGUCUUGGUUAAGAUUGUCAGCUGGAUUUUUUUCCUCUCACUUUUCCGAUUCGCGUCUCGUUAAAUAAAUCUAUUUACGUUGGUGUCCGUGGUCAGGGUUGAGCCGAUCGUGAGAUUGAUUUGUCAUUGAGCCUUUAAAGUAUUUCGGGGCCAUGUUUCCGUUUGGGUUGCUAUUGUUUUUGUGCCGGUUUCCCUCCCUGUUUUCACGAAGCAUGUUUCUUUGUUUUUUAUUUGUACUCCCGCGGUUUAAGGUCAAAUAAUAAAAUAUGCAAAUGGGAUUGAGUGUCCUGUGGUUUGUUUUCUUUUUGUUGUUUUCUUGUUUUGUUAAGGGAGUUGUCGAACAAUAGCGGUCUAGUGUUUUCUUUCAUGUAGAUAAUAUGUUGAUAUCUGCCGGUUCACAGAGCAGUCUGAGCAUUAAGCUCAGAACUGGAGUGAGGUUGAGCAGGCAGGAGGUCGUUUUUGAGGAGCUUGGCAGAUUUUCUUCUCUCUCUCUCUCUCUCUCUCUCUCUCUCUCUCUCUCGCUCGCUCGUUCGCUCGCUCUCCCCCCCCCCCCCCCGUCUCUCUCUCUCUCUCGCUCUCCCUCUCUCUCCCCCCACCCCCGUCUUCUCCCUCUCUCUCUCCCUCUCUCUCUCUCGUUUCAUUUAAACAGACUAGAUCAGGGUGUGCUCACAAACAUACUCAGUGGAUAUGGCAACUACCCUAGAAAAUCGGGAGAAUAGCAGGUAAAGAGCGAAAUUACUUUCCCUAGAACAUCAGAGUUUGAUAGAGCAAAACUUGGGGGAUUUUAGAUUCCUGAAGAUGUUGGGUCUGUCUCUGGUGGAGGGUGAUUAUCGUGGACUCCCACAGACUUGGUAUUGCCCUAAGCAGGCUCGAAAUCGCCUGUAUAAUCCAAGGGCGUGGAUGAUAUUGAAUGAACUGGUUACCGGUUACUUUGAUAGUAAUUCGCCGAGACAGAAAGGAGAAGGGGGCUUGAGUACCUACUGAGGUUGGUUAUUCUCUACCCUGGAGGACGUAUUGGCUGCUCGUGCGGUUGGAAAUUUGGCUUGUAGGUCAUCUACUGGCCUCCCCAGAAAGAAACACCAGCACUUCUUUCAUCUUUUUCUUUCUACGUUCUUUUGGCUUGUUCAUCUGGAUCUGCGUUACCUUUGGAAUUCCUGGAGGGGGAAAACCUACAGUGUCUCUUUCUGGUGAUUCCAGACUCUUGUCGGCUCUCUUGAUUACAGUUAAGAGAUUUAAAAAAAAAAAAAAAACAGACCAAAAAACGACGCUUACGUCUCUGAACCCAUUCUUCCGCUAUUUAGCACGGAUUCCACGACCUGUUUGCGGCCCCUGAAGCCGGACUGAAGUUUCAGUUACCGGCGGUUUACGUCGUCAAUUUGAUCGACGGAUGUCCGCUCUCGCUAGCCAGCCUUCGUUGGAAUGCCGUUUAGAGUAACCCUUUGAUUUUAAGGCUUCGUUUGCUCAGCUGGAGGAGGAAAAUAAAAUGAUCCGUCGGACAGUGCGGUCUCAGGUUCAGUCCGGGGCAGAUGUUCAUUGAAGUUUCGAGAUGUUGGAAUAUCGAACAGAUCUACCUGGGCCUUGGGAGCUCAACACUUGCGCAGCCGGGCCCUCCUCCUACGACACAGGGAAAUGGUUCGAACCGAGCCGUUUGUCGGUAAAAGAUCGGCUCCGUAGGUCUCUAGUAGAACUUGGAGCCUCCUUUCAGCCCUCACUGCUUCCGGCCUCUCCCGUUCUUCUUUCACUUACAAAGCUGCGUUUAGUCGAGCAGCAGCGUGGCCUGGUGGAUAGAGCGUCGACCUGGGAGCCGGAGGACCUGGCUUCUAAUCCCUGCCUCCACCGCUGACCUGUUGUGUGACCUUGGGCGAGUCACCUGCCUUCUCUCUGCCUCGGUUCCCUCCGCCGCAAGAUGGGGAUCCCGUAACUGACCUCCCUGCUACGAAGACCGUGAGCCCAUGUGGCACAGCGAGGGUGUCCGACCUGAUAAACUUGUCUCU
rnacentral:lncRNA from 1 species